GAGAUUGUGAUGACCCAGUCUCCAGCCUCCCUGGCUGUGUCAGCAGGAGAGAGAGUUACCAUCAGCUGCAAGUCCAGCCAGAGUCUUUAUUAUAGCUCAAACCAGAAGAACUACUUGUCUUGGUACCAGCAGAAGCCAGGGCAGGCUCCUAAACUGCUGAUGUACUGGGCGUCCACACGGGAGACUGGGGUUCCUGAUCGGUUUACUGGCAGUGGGUCUGGGACAGAUUUCACUCUCACCAUCAGCAGUGUGCAGGCUGAACACCUGGUAGAUUAUUGCUGUCAGAAAUAUU